ensembl:snRNA U6 U6 spliceosomal RNA
GUGCUUGCUUCGACAGCACAUAUGUUAAAAUUGAAUAAGAUUAGCAUGGUCCCUGUGCAAGGAUGACACGCAAAUUCAUAAAGCAUUCCAUAUUUAA